AUGUAGGGCAAUCUGUCUUUAAGUAGGGAUAAAUUACUCUAAAAGAAAUGAAUCCUAGAUAGUUUUCCCUUCAAGUCAAGCGUCUUGU
rnacentral:pre_miRNA from 9 species